rnacentral:misc_RNA from 1 species
GAAUUGCGAUAUGUAAUGUGAAUUGCAGAAUUCAGUGAAUCAUCGAAUCUUUGAACGCACAUUGCACCCUCAGGUCUUUUCCAGAGGGUAUGCCUGUUUGAGUGUCGUUGACCCAUCAAUGCAGACAAGUCGUUUCUGAUUUGCUUUCUGUAUUUGGAGGUUGAAGGCUGCCGGCGUCAUGGCCAGCUCCUUUUAAAUUUAUUAGCGGGACUUUGAAGACUCGGCUUCAGUUUGAUAAUGCAUCUAUGCUGUCGCCGAGGAACGUUUGUCUAGCUUAUAACUGUCCUUUUGGACUGUCUCUUAUGAGGCACAACGCAAUCAACUCUUGACCUCAAAUCAGGUAGGACUACCCGCUGAGUUUAA